GAUGAACGCUGGCGGCGUGCCUAAUACAUGCAAAUCGAGCGAAGAGAUUAGGUGCUUGCUCCUCUUAGGUUAGCGGCGGACGGGUGAGUAACACGUGGGGAACCUACCUAUAAGACUGGGAUAACUUCGGGAAACGGGUGCUAAUACCGCAUAAUAUAUUUAACCACAUGGUUCAAGAGUGAAAGACGGUUUUGCUUUCACUUAUAGAUAUAUCCACGUCUCAUUGGCUAGUUGGUAAGGUAACGGCUACCCAAGGCAACGAUGAGUAGCCGACCUGAGAGGGUGAUGGGCCACACUGGAACUGAGAACGGGCCCAGCCUCCUAGGGGAGGAAGAAGUAGGGAACUUUGCGAAAUGGGCGAAAGCCUGACGGAGAAACGCGGCGUGAGGGAUGAAGGUCUUCGGACGGUAAAAUCUGGUUAUUAGGGAAGAACAAAUGUGUAAGUAAAUACGCACGAAUUGACGGUAACUAAUCAGAAAGCCACGGCUAACUACGUG
rnacentral:rRNA from 1 species